GACGAACGCUGGCGGCGCGCUUAACACAUGCAAGUCGAACGCUGAAGCACCAGCUUGCUGGUGUGGAUGAGUGGCGAACGGGUGAGUAAUACGUGAGUAACCUGCCCUUGACUCUGGGAUAAGCCCGGGAAACUGGGUCUAAUACUGGAUGCUACAUGUCACCGCAUGGUGGUGUGUGGAAAGGGUUUACUGGUCUUGGAUGGGCUCACGGCCUAUCAGCUUGUUGGUGAGGUAAUGGCUCACCAAGGCGACGACGGGUAGCCGGCCUGAGAGGGUGACCGGCCACACUGGGACUGAGACACGGCCCAGACUCCUACGGGAGGCAGCAGUGGGGAAUAUUGCACAAUGGGCGAAAGCCUGAUGCAGCGGCGCCGCGUGAGGGAUGACGGCCUUCGGGUUGUAAACCUCUUUCAGCAGGGAAGAAGCCACAAGUGACGGUACCUGCAGAAGUAGCGCCGGCUAACUACGUG
rnacentral:rRNA from 1 species